CACUGCGCUCGAGCGCGGUCCCCCGGACUGACGGCCAGCCCUGCGGAUGGACGGGCCGUGUGCCCUGUCGCCCUGCGCCUGCUGAACUCCGAGCGCCCGAGGAUGUCUGCGCUGAGGAAGGUCUGUAUGAGCUGUUGGCUGUUGUGCAGGCUGGCUGGGGCCACGUGUGGACAGCCAGGAAGACCUGACCUUCCUCUGGGAUAUGUUUGGUGAGAAAAGCCUGCAUUCACCGGUAAAGAUCUUCACAAUAUCCUGGGUAGCCUUAUGUUGUGAGGUGGAAGUCUCUACUCUUCUGUGGCUGCUGUGGCCAAGACUUCCAAUACUGUGUUAGCAUCCUCGCCUUGUUCCUGAUGUUAAGCAGGAAGCUUUUCCCUGUUGAGCAUGAUGCUAGCUGUGCACUGGUCAUACGUGGCCUUACAUUUUGAGUAGUGCUAAGUUGCCAGUGGAAACUGCCCAUGGGCCACAUGAGAGACCACGGAUCCUGUAAUGCUGGGAGGCAUAAAGCUGGCACAGAAGUGCUGCAGAGAGGCUGUCACCAGUUAGAGGGAAGGAGCCAGAGAAGCAAGAGGUGUGGCAACAGCCAAGGGUCUUCAAAGGUAGAUGGACUGUGCACUCCCUUCCUGAAUGGGAGACCAGCACAGAGACCUUGGGGGCACGCCCUGCCCAGCCCUGCCCAGCCUCGCCCAGGCUCCAGCCGGAGGCUCCGCCCCAGGCCAUGGCCUUCCACUUGCUCACGUGACCAUGCCACAGGCAUGCAGAGAGGCAGGCUGAGCUCUGCCAGGCCAGCAGGGUCCGUGCCAGGCCUGGUGGACUUCGAGGACAAGGAGCAGGUGAAGGCCUUUCUGGAGAACGUGGUGGAGUGCAAGUACCAGUGCUACUGUGAGAAGGACCCGAAUGGACAGAAAGUUAUCUAAGCUCAAUAGUUCUGAGAAAUGUCUUCAUCUAGGAGCAUUCCCUCUGUUUCUUAGAAGUUUGAAUUUGGGAGAAAGGUUGACAAUCUGGGGGAAAAAAAAGACGAAGCGAAAGGAACAGCAUGCUCAGGAGGGCACACACCACGCCAGUUCCCUUGCUUCUAAUGGUUAUCACGUACCAACCCAAGUGGCUGCCGCCUUAUUAAUCAUCAUAUUCAUGAAAAGCUCUACUACUAUGAGAAGUAGAACCCUGUGCCCAUCCUCCACAGCACAGCAGUCUUGGCUGAUGAUGUAAGUGUGCCUUUCGGAGCUCCCUGCCACCCGGCUCCCUUGGGCCCGGUCCUGAGCAGAGCUCUUCCUGGCGCAGACACAAGUGUGAGAUCCUGGGAGUGAAAACCAGAAGCCGCUGCAAAUGUUUCCAAAAGUCCUGUCACCGAGGACCUUAUGCGGAUACUGUGCUGAUUUGCAUUCACUCUCCUGCUCAAAAAAUUGUGCGUGGGGAUGUCCUCUGUUCUACCUGGGUGGCUACAGUAGCAGAAGUCUGAGGCUAGAACUCUCUGGGCAGAGAGAAACUGUCAGCUACUAGUGUUCUGAGAAAGGCACAGGCAGGAGGAAUGCUUUGGAGAAAUAAAGACAAAUGAGCUAGGUCUGUUGCUGACAGUGCUAAAAACUGACAGAUACGCUAGUGUCGGAACGAGGCCUGAUGAAAUACAUAAAAAGACAGGAUUGUUUUCAAAAUGAAGUAUAAAGCAUCAUAAUGAUUUAUGGAUAUUAGACCUUUCCACAUUACCUUCAUAACCAAAGAAUAAGUGACAGAAGCAGUUAGCAUUGAUGGAGUAAUUUCCUGUAGCUAUCAUUUUAUUUUCAAUCUUGGAAUGAAUUACCUUGCUGUUCCUUGCCGUUCACUUUCAAACUCAGAUGAAUUGAAAGCACACCUGGAUAAACUGUAAAGGACACUGAGCCAGAGGAGAAAUAGGUCUCCUGUGAAGGUCUGUAUGAGCUGUUGGCUGUUCUGCCAGUCCAGCUGGGGCCACGUGUGGACAGCCAGGAAGACCUGACCUUCCUCUGGGAUAUGUUUGGUGAGAAAAGCCUGCAUUCACUGGUUAAGGUAAAAACCAUGCUGAUGUCAGAUUCUCUUGGUGGGAAAACAUGGAAAAACAUUUUGAGUGCUGUCUCAUAAACCAGAGAUCAAAUUGUUGCCUUCUGCAAGGCAGAACAAAUCAGCCUUGUUCCGUGAUGAGCAUGGAAGUUGUUAAAGAUUUUACCAAAAAUACCUAGAUGAUUUCCCUUAAUGGUGGUGAUCUGGCUGUGUGCACUAAUGAAGCCAACGUAUGCCUGCCCUUGUUUAGAAGAAGAAUAUGAAAUAAUAGCAGGAAGGUAUAGGCUCCUUAUGGACAACAUUCAUGAGCUGGAAUUUAGCUUGAGUAAUGAAUGGUCACAACAAAAAUUAGAAGGAAUAUAUUUUCUGAGGUUAGGGAUGGCAGCAGUUCAUAGCCACAUUAAUUUAAAAUAAUUACCUUUCCACACCAAUCUUAAGAUAAUUUGUUCCAACUC